UACGUAGGGCGCAAGCGUUGUCCGGAAUUAUUGGGCGUAAAGAGCUCGUAGGCGGCUUGUCACGUCUGCUGUGAAAUCCCGGGGCUCAACCCCGGGCGUGCAGUGGAUACGGGCUGGCUAGAGGCAGGCAGGGGAGAACGGAAUUCCCGGUGUAGCGGUGAAAUGCGCAGAUAUCGGGAGGAACACCAAUUGCGAAGGCAGCUCGCUGGGACGUUACUGACGCUGAGACGCGAAAGCGUGGGGAGCAAACAGG
rnacentral:rRNA from 1 species